GAUGAACGCUGGCGGCGUGCCUAUACAUGCAAGCCGAGCGAAUGGAUUAAGAGCUUGCUCUUAUGAAGUUAGCGGCGGACGGGUGAGUAACACGUGGGUAACCUGCCCAUAAGACUGGGAUAACUCCGGGAAACCGGGGCUAAUACCGGAUAAUAUUUUGAACUGCAUGGUUCAAAAUUGAAAGGCGGCUUCGGCUGUCACUUAUGGAUGGACCCGCGUCGCAUUAGCUAGUUGGUGAGGUAACGGCUCCCCAAGGCAACGAUGCGUAGCCGACCUGAGAGGGUGAUCGGCCACACUGGGACUGAGACACGGCCCAGACUCCUACGGGAGGCAGCAGUAGGGAAUCUUCCGCAAUGGACGAAAGUCUGACGGAGCAACGCCGCGUGAGUGAUGAAGGCUUUCGGGUCGUAAAACUCUGUUGUUAGGGAAGAACAAGUGCUAGUUGAAUAAGCUGGCACCUUGACGGUACCUAACCAGAAAGCCACGGCUAACUACGUGCCAGCCGCCGCGGUAA
rnacentral:rRNA from 1 species